rnacentral:rRNA from 1 species
AUACGUAGGUGGCAAGCGUUGUCCGGAUUUAUUGGGCGUAAAGCGAGCGCAGGCGGAAAGAUAAGUCAGAUGUGAAAGCCCUCGGCUUAACCGAGGAAUAGCAUCGGAAACUGUCUUUCUUGAGUGCAGAAGAGGAGAGUGGAACUCCAUGUGUAGCGGUGGAAUGCGUAGAUAUAUGGAAGAACACCAGUGGCGAAGGCGGCUCUCUGGUCUGUAACUGACGCUGAGGCUCGAAAGCAUGGGUAGCGAACAGGAUUAGAUACCCUGGUAGUCCAUGCUGUAAACGAUGAGUGCUAAGUGUUGGGAGGUUUCCGCCUCUCAGUGCUGCAGCUAACGCAUUAAGCACUCCGCCUGGGGAGUACGACUGCAAGGUUAAAACUCAAAUGAAUUGACGGGG